rnacentral:rRNA from 1 species
UACGAAGGGGGCUAGCGUUGCUCGGAAUCACUGGGCGUAAAGGGUGCGUAGGCGGGUCUUUUAAGUCAGGGGUGAAAUCCUGGAGCUCAACUCCAGAACUGCCUUUGAUACUGAAGAUCUUGAGUUCGGGAGAGGUGAGUGGAACUGCGAGUGUAGAGGUGAAAUUCGUAGAUAUUCGCAAGAACACCAGUGGCGAAGGCGGCUCACUGGCCCGAUACUGACGCUGAGGCACGAAAGCGCGGGGAGCAAACAGG